rnacentral:piRNA from 1 species
UUACUGUGAUGAAAUGAGACUGAGGACUC